AGGUGUCUGAAAAAAUGUGUUAAGGCUGCUUAUUUUUUUUCUCUUUUUCUUUUUUCCUUCUCUUCUUUUAAUAUUAGUGGUGUGAUACUUAGGAGGGGCAGAGGGGAGAGAACAGAACAUUUUGUGCUUUCUUCUCACAAGUUGCCUCCCUGUAAUGAAGGACUACUGAAGCUGAUAUCUUUACAAUGGUUUGACAGAGACCUUCAUCACAGUCAUCCAAACAAAAGGAGACAAUGUCCUUUACGAAAUCAAAAGAAAUCCACUGUAAAAGAAAUCCCUCAUAAAAUAUGAAGGGGAAGAAACUUUAAUAAAAGACAUAUCCACGAUAAAACCUUGAAAAUGCUUUA
rnacentral:lncRNA from 1 species